AAAAUACAGGGAUGCAUCAGGGAGCAAACUCAAGGAGAGUUUUUCAGGAGCGCCAGGAAAGCGAAGAUAAGGAUCGGGCAAUCUUUAAUUAUCACGGAGAGUGUUAAAGAGCUAUCAGGAGAGCAGCAAGGAAUGUUGCAUGCCGAGGGAGGACAGGGGUUGUCUCAGGCGAACAAGGAAUGUUGAGCCCAUGAUGGGUGUCAAAACGAAAAUGGCGGCGGGUUUACCUGCCGCCUUUUUUAUUUGCCUGGUU
rnacentral:sRNA from 1 species